CUUCAAAACGUUAUAAUCAUAAUAUAAUAUGAUAUAAUAUAAUAAUUAUCAAAAACGUCCAUAAUUAUUAUUGAAUGUUUAAUAUAAUAAUUAUCAUUCUAAAUAUUUAGUUAGAAUUUUGUAUCAAUAUAUAAUUAAUAUAUACGAACAUUGUGGACAAUUAGCGUCUAUGAUAAUCCUAAAGAUUUGUCAGAUAAAAUAAAUUACGGUUUUUAAAUAUAAAAACAACAUGAGUAAAUACUUAAUACUUUAUUAAUUAUUUAGUUUAUUUCAUCAAUAUGUUGUGUGCACAAGCCCGUUAUCUAACGAAAUUGGUGAAGUUUUAUAACAUAAGUAAUACAUUAUUAUCAGUGUUAGGCAUUAUCUAGGUAUAGAUACAAAAUUAAUUAUGUUUUACUUAAUCUAGAUAGUUAACAAUGAAUAAUUGAAUUAUCUAAACUAAUUUAUCUAAAUCGAUUAAUAGUCUUAUGUACUAAUUUUAAAACGUGCGCUUUUAUUCUUAAUAAAAAUAAAAUAUAAUAUUCAAGUUGAAAUCAAAUUGAAAACCCAAUCUACAAAAAUAAAUAUCGGAUAAUAGUAUAAUUG